AGUGAACGCUGGCGGCAGGCCUAACACAUGCAAGUCGAACGGCAGCACAAGAGAGCUUGCUCUCUGGGUGGCGAGUGGCGGACGGGUGAGGAAUGCAUCGGAAUCUGCCCAUUUGUGGGGGAUAACCUCGGGAAACCGGGACUAAUACCGCAUACGACCUACGGGUGAAAGCAGGGGAUCUUCGGACCUUGCGCAGAUGGAUGAGCCGAUGCCGGAUUAGCUAGUUGGAGGGGUAAAGGCCCACCAAGGCGACGAUCCGUAGCUGGUCUGAGAGGAUGAUCAGCCACACUGGGACUGAGACACGGACCAGACUCCUACGGGAGGCAGCAGUGGGGAAUAUUGGACAAUGGGCGCAAGCCUGAUCCAGCCAUGCCGCGUGUGUGAAGAAGGCCUUCGGGUUGUAAAGCACUUUUGUUGGGAAAGAAAAGCAGCCGGUUAAUACCCGGUUGUCAUGACGGUACCCAAAGAAUAAGCACCGGCUAACUUCGUG
rnacentral:rRNA from 1 species